CUUGUUCAUUUUGAAUACUUCUACAAAAGGAGGUUAAAAAGAGUUACUUGAUCAUCCUAAACACUUCUUAGUAUUGGCAUGUAUUUUAAACUAUCGGGAAGAAGAGAAAAUUCUAUGUUUGUAUAAGAGAGUUAUUGAGAGAGAAUUGCUUUAUCGUAUUUGUUAUAUAUUGUGUGAUUAAUGAAAGUUUAUUUAUUUGAGUGCAAAAAUUGAUAUUUAUCACAACUUCUACCCAUCAGGAGGAAUGGGGGGAUUUAUCAAAAAUAUUCUCUGACUAUGUUCACCCAGUACAUCCAUCAAUCCCUCCAUUGGAUUUUACCUAGAUGUAUCUGGAAUGAGGUAUGUUACAUGAACCGUAGUUCACCUCCAAAAGUUUUUGUGCAGCUUGGGUUGUAUGAUCACAAUAACGGUUCACUAUGGAAAAUAUGAGGGAGCUUUGUCUUGAUUACGGGGUGGCUAAUGAAAGGACUGGGAAGCUUUAUGUAUGUAACUAACUAAGCUUUUUUAGUCCUUCAGUUUUGAGUUCCAAGAAGCAUUUUGGGACAUCAUAUGCUAUGAUAAAUUCGAUUUUCUAUAUAUUCACAAACUGGUUUCUACGUGUAAUACAUUUUCUAUAGAUUAGGUGUGGUCGAUAACUUAAUUUAAAUCUUGAUGUAGACACACAAAACACAAAACUUAUAAUUUUUUUGCUGCUGUAUCCUUUACUGCAGGUAGUGAAGGAAUAUCAACGGUGAAGCAGUAAUGUUGGAGGAAUCCUUAUGACAUUCCUGAGAAGAGCUUGCCAUUAACAAAUCCCGUGGUAGAUGAAAAGACAGUUUAGUAGAUUUUGCAUGACUAUACGAACUUGUGCACUACUAGCCUGUUUUUAAAGGAAUUUGAAUUUCAUAAAGUAGAACAGAAAAUAUAGGCUUUUUGUAAUGGAUACCUAAAGUGAUUACCAUUUCCAAGUGACUAAUCAUGUGCCCUUUUUGAUUAAAAUAUGGUAUCCACUUUCUCUGCAAAAGAUUGAUGGAAGAGUAAAACUUUGGAAGAGGCUAGACCUGACCUCCUGCAAAUGAUAAUAAAAGGACAUAAGUAUCCGCACUAAUAUGAGCAAUACGUGAAAAUGGUCUAGAAGAGUUUGAAUAACUAUGUUUCUUUCUAGACAAGAACAUACAUGGAGCAAUAACUUACCAAAUUAAGACUUUUAGCUGCAAUGCUUUUAGAUAAUGUGGUUCAACAAUAUGGUUCAACACUAUGGUGUUCGACGUGGC
rnacentral:lncRNA from 1 species